rnacentral:rRNA from 1 species
ACCGCGACCCCAGGUCAGGCGGUACUACCCGCUGAGUUUAAGCAU